rnacentral:rRNA from 1 species
CAGUCGCGGGGCAGCAUGACAUCAGCUUGCUGAUGUUGAUGGCGACCGCCUUACGGGUGAGUAACGCGUAUCCAACCUGCCCUUUACUAUGGGACAGCCCGUCGAAAGGCGGAUUAAUACCGUAUGUUGUCAUGUUGAUGCAUAUUUUCAUGACCAAAGGCUUCGGCCGGUAAAGGAUGGGGAUGCGUCUGAUUAGCUUGCCGGCGGGGUAACGGCCCACCGGGGCGACGAUCAGUAGGGGUUCUGAGAGGAAGGUCCCCCACAUUGGAACUGAGACACGGUCCAAACUCCUACGGGAGGCAGCAGUGAGGAAUAUUGGUCAAUGGGCGCGAGCCUGAACCAGCCAAGUAGCGUGCAGGACGACGGCCCUAUGGGUUGUAAACUGCUUUUAUACGGGGAUAAAGUAUGCCACGUGUGGUUUAUUGCAGGUACCGUAUGAAUAAGGACCGGCUAAUUCCGUGCCAGCAGCCGCGGUAAUACGGAAGGUCCGGGCGUUAUCCGGAUUUAUUGGGUUUAAAGGGAGCGUAGGCCGGGUUUUAAGCGUGCCGUGAAAUGUCGGGGCUCAACCUUGACACUGCGGCGCGAACUGGAGUCCUUGAGUGCGCGGAACGUAUGCGGAAUUCGUGGUGUAGCGGUGAAAUGCUUAGAUAUCACGAAGAACCCCGAUUGCGAAGGCAGCAUACGGCAGCGCUACUGACGCUGAAGCUCGAAGGCGCGGGUAUCGAACAGGAUUAGAUACCCUGGUAGUCCGCGCGGUAAACGAUGGAUGCCCGCUGUUGGCGAUAUAUUGUCAGCGGCCAAGCGAAAGCGUUA